rnacentral:rRNA from 1 species
UACGUAGGGUGCGAGCGUUAAUCGGAAUUACUGGGCGUAAAGCGUGCGCAGGCGGUUCGUUGUGUCGGCGGUGAAAGCCCCGGGCUCAACCUGGGAAUGGCCGUUGAAACUGGCGAACUGGAGUGUGGCAGAGGGGGGUGGAAUUCCGCGUGUAGCAGUGAAAUUCGUAGAUAUUCGCAAGAACACCAGUGGCGAAGGCGGCUCACUGGCCCGAUACUGACGCUGAGGCACGAAAGCGUGGGGAGCAAACAGG